UACGUAGGGCGCAAGCGUUAUCCGGAAUUAUUGGGCGUAAAGAGCUCGUAGGCGGUUUGUCGCGUCGAAUGUGAAAACCCGGGGCUCAACUCCGGGCCUGCAUUCGAUACGGGCAGACUAGAGUUCGGUAGGGGAGACUGGAAUUCCUGGUGUAGCGGUGAAAUGCGCAGAUAUCAGGAGGAACACCGGUGGCGAAGGCGGGUCUCUGGGCCGAUACUGACGCUGAGGAGCGAAAGCGUGGGGAGCGAACAGG
rnacentral:rRNA from 1 species